UACGUAGGGUGCGAGCGUUGUCCGGAAUUACUGGGCGUAAAGAGCUCGUAGGUGGUUUGUCGCGUUGUUCGUGAAAACUCACAGCUUAACUGUGGGCGUGCGGGCGAUACGGGCAGACUGGAGUACUGCAGGGGAGACUGGAAUUCCUGGUGUAGCGGUGGAAUGCGCAGAUAUCAGGAGGAACACCGGUGGCGAAGGCGGCUCACUGGCCCGUAACUGACGCUCAUGCACGACAGCGUGGGGAUCAAACAGG
rnacentral:rRNA from 1 species